rnacentral:rRNA from 1 species
UACGUAGGGGGCUAGCGUUGUCCGGAAUCAUUGGGCGUAAAGCGCGUGUAGGCGGCCCGGUAAGUCCGCUGUGAAAGUCCAGGGCUCAGCCCUGGGAUGCCGGUGGAUACUGUCGGGCUCGAGUCCGGAAGAGGCGAGUGGAAUUCCUGGUGUAGCGGUGAAAUGCGCAGAUAUCAGGAGGAACACCAAUGGCGAAGGCAGCUCGCUGGGACGUGACUGACGCUGAGACGCGAAAGCGUGGGGAGCAAACAGG